AUCAAACUUGAGAGUUUGAUCCUGGCUCAGAACGAACGCUGGCGGCAGGCCUAACACAUGCAAGUCGAACGNNNGUCNGGAAGUGCUUGCNCNNUGCUNACNUUAGUGGCGGACGGGUGAGUAANNCNUGGGAANUUGCCNNUAGAGUGGGGNAUAACNNUUGGAAACGANNGCUAAUACCGCAUACACCCUUCGGGGGAAAGGCUUCGGCCGCUCUUGGAUAAGCCCGCGUCAGAUUAGCUUGUUGGUGAGGUAAUGGCUCACCAAGGCAACAAUCAAUAGCUGUUCUUAGAGGAAGACCAGCCACAUUGGGACUGAGACACGGCCCAGACUCCUACGGGAGGCAGCAGUAAGGAAUCUUGCACAAUGGGGGAAACCCUGAUGCAGCGAUGCCGCGUGAGUGAAGAAGGCCCUUGGGUUGUAAAACUCUUUCGUCGGGGAAGAAAAUGACUGUACCCGAAUAAGAAGGUCCGGCUAACUUCGUGCCAGCAGCCGCGGUAAUACGAAGGGACCUAGCGUAGUUCGGAAUUACUGGGCUUAAAGAGUUCGUAGGUGGUUGAAAAAGUUGGUGGUGAAAUCCCAGAGCUUAACUCUGGAACUGCCAUCAAAACUUUUCAGCUAGAGUAUGAUAGAGGAAA
rnacentral:rRNA from 1 species